rnacentral:lncRNA from 1 species
GCAUCUGGGGAUGGAUGCUUACACUCAGAACCAAUGGUUCACAACUCAGACACCCCUAGUUUUAGAAAACCAAGCAUCCUCUUCAACUCCUCACUGGGCUUAUCCCAUGAACCCUUCAAAUGUGCAUGGGAACCCAGUGAUCAACCUGAUGCCUUUCUACCCUCCACACCAUAUGGGCUAGGUAUUUGCUUCAUGGUUCCAAUCACUCCACUCCUUUAACCCACUCUCCUCAUAUGCAAGUCAUCUCAGUCCGAUGGACAACUUCAG